rnacentral:pre_miRNA from 1 species
UGAGAGGUUGAAGCUGCCAGCAUGAUCUGACCAUUACAGACUUCAUCAUCUCCAUUCUUCCAAAAUGAUUCCUACUUGCUAAUUAUGGAAAUCCCAUUUGAUCAUCUAAUCAUCAAGUUUCAGAAGAAUGGUUAUAAGUUAAUGAUCAGGUCAUCUUGCAGCUUCAAUCACUCU